AACAACGGGUGGAGCCUGCGGUUUAAUUGGACUCAACGCCGGACAACUCACCGGGGGCGACAGCACUAUGUAGGCCAGGCUGAAGACCUUGCCUGAAUCGCUGAGAGGAGGUGCAUGGCCGUCGCCAGUUCGUACUGUGAAGCAUCCUGUUAAGUCAGGCAACGAGCGAGACCCGUGCCCACUGUUACCAGCAUGUCCUCCGGGACGAUGGGUACUCUGUGGGGACCGCCGGUGUUAAAUCGGAGGAAGGUGCGGGCCACGGUAGGUCAGUAUGCCCCGAAUCUCCCGGGCUACACGCGGGCUACAAUGGAUGGGACAAUGGGUCCCUACCCCGAAAGGGGAUGGUAAUCUCACAAACCCAUUCUUAGUUCGGAUCGAGGGCUGUAACUCGCCCUCGUGAAGCUGGAAUCCGUAGUAAUCGCGUUUCAAUAUAGCGCGGUGAAUAUGUCCCUGCUCC
rnacentral:rRNA from 1 species